UACGUAGGGGGCAAGCGUUUGUCCGGAAUCAUUGGGCGUAAAGCGCGUGUAGGCGGCCAGAAAAGUCCGCUGUGAAAACUCGAGGCUCAACUUCGAGCUGUCGGUGGAAACUUUCUGGCUAGAGUCCGGAAGAGGAGAAUGGAAUUCCUGGUGUAGCGGUGAAAUGCGCAGAUAUCAGGAAGAACACCCGUGGCGAAGGCGGUUCUCUGGGACGGUACUGACGCUGGAGACGCGAAAGCGUGGGGAGCGAACAGG
rnacentral:rRNA from 1 species